rnacentral:rRNA from 1 species
UACGAAGGGGGUUAGCGUUGUUCGGAAUUACUGGGCGUAAAGGGCGCGUAGGCGGUACUUCAAGUCAGGCGUGAAAGCCCCGGGCUCAACCUGGGAACCGCGCUUGAGACUGGAGAACUAGAGUUCGGGAGAGGAUGGUGGAAUUCCCAGUGUAGAGGUGAAAUUCGUAGAUAUUGGGAAGAACACCGAUGGCGAAGGCAGCCAUCUGGACCGACACUGACGCUGAGGCGCGAAAGCGUGGGGAGCAAACAGG